CUCCAAUGCGCUGUUAGCUUCGGUCGCGUUAGGACGUUAUUUUUGACACGACAACCUGCUUUUAAAGUAGAAUUCCUUCGUGAAGAGGUCUUUCUACAAACAUGCCUGGAGUCGAGCAGCUGAGGUACAUGUUGAAACUACAGCGAACACCUGCUGAUAAAGGAAUGAACACAGACCAGAUAGAAGAAAUGUGUCAUU